rnacentral:rRNA from 1 species
CAGCAGCCACGGUAAUACGGAGGAUCCAAGCGUUAUCCGGAAUUAUUGGGUUUAAAGGGUGCGUAGGCGGCAUGCUAAGUCAGUGGUGAAAGACGGUGGCUCAACCAUCGCAGUGCCGUUGAUACUGUUUAUCUUGAAUAUGGAUGAGGUAGGCGGAAUGUGGCAAGUAGCGGUGAAAUGCAUAGAUAUGCCACAGAACACCGAUUGCGAAGGCAGCUUACCAAGGCAAAAUUGACGCUGAGGCACGAAAGCGUGGGGAUCGAACAGGAUUAGAUACCCGCGUAGUCCCUGUCUCUUAUAC